rnacentral:lncRNA from 1 species
GAGGCGCGGCCCACGUGACCCACCCAUGGUCCCAAGCGAGGCCUGGCGCGGGACGCCGGACGCGGUGCGGGGCGGAGCGGGGCGCCAAGGGGCGCGCCAGGAGCUGCGCGGGCGCUGGGAGGGAGACCAGGGCGCAGUUCCGGGCGCGUCUGAGCGGUUCUCGAGGCGUUCUCGCCUCGGUCUCUGGCGAGUGCACGGAUCAAAAGCAGCAUGGAUCUGCCUGUGGAUGAAUGGAAAUCAUAUCUGCUUCAAAAGUGGGCUUCACUCCCGACGUCUGUUCAGGUCACAAUUUCUACAGCAGAGACCUUGAGGGAUAUCUUUCUUCACUCCUCUUCACUUCUUCAAGUUUCGCUCUUGUCACCCAGCC